rnacentral:rRNA from 1 species
AACAAACGCUGGCGGCGUGCCUAACACAUGCAAGUCGAACGAGAAAUCCCGAGCUUGCUUGGGAGAGUAAAGUGGCGCACGGGUGAGUAACGCGUGGGUAACCUACCUUUGAAUCUGGAAUAACCAGCCGAAAGGCUGACUAAUACCGGAUAUGGUUUUUAGGACUUAGGUUCUCUAAAUUAAAGGUGACCUCUUCAUGAAAGUUGCCGUUCAUAGAUGGGCCCGCGUACCAUUAGCUAGUUGGUGGGGUAAUGGCCUACCAAGGCGACGAUGGUUAGCUGGUCUGAGAGGAUGAUCAGCCACACUGGAACUGGAACACGGUCCAGACUCCUACGGGAGGCAGCAGUGAGGAAUUUUGCGCAAUGGGGGAAACCCUGACGCAGCAACGCCGCGUGAGCGAAGAAGGCCCUCGGGUCGUAAAGCUCUGUCAAGUGGGAAAAAAAUCUUUUGAUCAAUAGUCAAAAGACUUGAUGGUACCACUGGAGGAAGCACCGGCUAACUCCGUGCCAGCAGCCGCGGUAAUACGGAGGGUGCAAGCGUUGUUCGGAUUUACUGGGCGUAAAGAGCGUGUAGGCGGUUUAGCAAGUCAGAUGUGAAAGCCCCGGGCUCAACCCGGGAAGUGCAUUUGAAACUGCUUCACUAGAGUAUGGGAGAGGAGAGUGGAAUUCCUGGUGUAGAGGUGAAAUUCGUAGAUAUCAGGAGGAACACCCGUGGCGAAGGCGACUCUCUGGACCAAUACUGACGCUGAGACGCGAAAGCGUGGGUAGCAAACAGGAUUAGAUACCCUGGUAGUCCACGCCGUAAACGAUGAGAACUAGGUGUAGCGGGUAUCGACCCGAGCCGUGCCGAAGC